UACAGAGGUCUCAAGCGUUGUUCGGAUUCAUUGGGCGUAAAGGGUGUGUAGGUGGCGCCGUAAGUCGGGUGUGAAAUUUCGGAGCUUAACUCCGAAACUGCAUUCGAUACUGCGGUGCUUGAGGACUGGAGAGGAGACUGGAAUUCAUGGUGUAGCAGUGAAAUGCGUAGAGAUCAUGAGGAAGACCAGUGGCGAAGGCGGGUCUCUGGACAGUUACUGACACUCAACUGCGAAAGCGUGGGGAGCAAACAGG
rnacentral:rRNA from 1 species